GCGGGACUCAGGGCUGAAGCUCAGACUAUACUACGGAGGGGCGGGUCGGCCUCGCCCGGGGCGGGGCCCUGUCAGGGUCACUGGCAAAGACAUCUUCCGGCUUCCAGAACUGGAAGAGGGGCAGGACUAUGGGAGCAGGAGGAAGCUACCUCUUAACACUGUGAUUGACACACAAGGACUCUGAACCACAGGGGAAUUUAAGGAGGAGAUCGAUUGCUUUUGAAGAAAAGGUGGCCAUCUGGAUGGUGCAGGUGCAAGGUAGCUGGGCUGCAAGGUGGCAGAUGGUUUGGUCCUCUGAAGACAGAUUAGGGAACCCACGUGAUGACAGAUAGGCAGAUGUUGGGUCGUUGUGAAAGGGGUUUGUCCAGUUGGAAUCUCUUUAUGGCGGAUUAGUUUGGAAAAUAUCUCAAGCAAUAGAAAGAAGAGAAAGGAGAGGCUCUGCAGAUCUAUCAUCCCUUACCUGCAAUUCCAAAAGGUAUCCAAUCCAGGAUAAGACACUGCAUUUAAUUUUCAUGUUUCCUUAGACUCCUCCAAUCUGUGACCAUUUCCUCAGUCUUUGUUGAUCAUGACCUUGUCACUUUUAAACAAUACUGGCCACAUAUACUAUAGAAUGUCUCCAGUAGUAAUAUUUUUAAAAAAGCAAAACAAAAUAGGAAGAUUAGGAUUGGAAAAAUUACACAAGUAAGGUGUAUGAAUGAGGUCUGUGUGUUGUGAGUGAGAGAAAACUCACCCGGAAUUGUCCUGUCAAACAGGAAAUUGGCUCAUGAACUAAAAAGGCCAAGGGCAUAUGUGGCUUCAAAAUGACAUUUGUAUCCAGUUUCACCUGUCUCUUGGCUUGGUUCUUUUCUCCUCUGAAUAUUCAGGUGAUUCUCCGAUAUGCACUCACUACACAGUUAGUUACCAGAUGGCUUCCCACACGGCUGUAUCUAUCCAGAGUGCGUGUGUGUCUGUGUCUGUGAUACUCACCUCUGCUCCACGUUCACAACUAAGCUCUCAGAGGCUCUGAUUCUACC